UUUGGAGUUUGGAUUAUGAAACUAUGAAAGGUUUGACCAUCAACUUAUAACAAAUUCGGAUCAAUGUGAUUAAUGUAUAUAAAUAGUAAUUUGUUUGUUUUUGUGAGUCCUAAUUGGAUUGGGGUAAUUUUCUUGAAAUUAAAACCCAAAAAUUAUUGUAAUAGGAUUGGGGUAAGUUGCUUGAAAUUGAGAUCUUUGGUUGUUAUUUAGUAUAAUUUGAGUCCAACACCAACUUUUCUUACCCGUAGGUACUGCGUUAACGCAACCAUUACCGAUGACAAUUCACUUUCGAACAUUGUGUUCUUUGACCAAUUUGGGGAUUAAUUUGCUAAUCUGGAGGCUUGAUUUGCUGUAUUGGGGGUUUUAUAUGCUGGUUUGGAGGCCCCUACUCCUGUAACAAUAAACUAAAAGUUUAAACUUUACCUACUUAGGUUUGGUUUGACUUCCCACUACUUCACAUAAAACCCACCAGAUAUGUGUAAUGCCCAGUCACCUAUUUCCUUUGCUCGAUAGCGUGGAUUACAGAUUUAAACUGAGUCGAGUUACUUUUAGUGUUAGUUAAAUGGUAAAACUUUAUUGCAUUUAUGUAUGAUGGUAGCCAAUUAAAGUUGAAUCCAGUAAUUAAUUGAAAUGUUAGUAUGCUAUUUUAGAUGUGUUAGUGUCAUUUCUUAUGUUUUUAACCACGUAAGUAAAUUUUUUUUUUGUUAUUGAGUGCACAAUUCGUUUGAUUACAUAAAUAGUAUGGGAACAGAAUGGAUAGCCUGCACAGAAAUAGUAAUGUUGAUAUUAAGAUGACCUCCCAUGAUUGAACAAAUGAAAUACAACUUCAAGCUUUGUUUGGUAGUCUUUCGAGACAUAAUUUAAGUUGCAACAAUGGAAUAGGGAGUAAAAGAGGCUUUAUUUUAAAAGUUCCUAAUGGUCAGAAUUUGGGUUGAAAAUUUAUUAUUGUUUGGGAAUUUUGAUCAACAUCAAUAAAGUUCUAAUAAUCCGUUAUAAUAAAUAAAAGUUUAUUUUUUGUGUCGUGGGCCAUUCAGUGAGGCAAGUUUCCGCCUUCGGUUCUUGCCCAACGUUUCUGACCCUACUCGCAAUCCUAAUGACUACAACGUUCAAUUCAAAACAAUUAUAAAAUAAGUUUCUUCGCAAUCCUAAUGACUACAACUUUCAAUUCAAAACAAUUAUAAAACAAGUUUGUGACAUAGUUUGAUUAAUAUAAAGUGCAUUAAUUAGGGUCGUAUAUUGUCUGUUUGGGACCUGUUUUAACCUUUAGACGACGUGAAGCCUAAGUUUGGAAGGUCCUAGAAAAAAAUGAUGAUCUACAUGGGCUUCAACGCCGGUAGAUAUUAUAUGUUUGUGUUAAGCCACCCGCGAAACUCGCGAGAUCUUAGGCUAGUAUGAUAAAUAAUUUAACAAUCUUACCAAUUGGGUUACGUUUCCAAAGCCUAAUGUGAAGCAAAGCAAAAAUAAUAAUAAUAAUAAGCAAGUUACUAAAAGGAGCCCAUAUGAAACAAUGGAGGAAAACAGGGAUGUUUUUUAAGAAUACCGCUUCUAUCAAUUGUACAUUUGGAGCUGAAACAUAGGGCUAGCAAUUUUAGACACGUAUAUGAAUACACGACACAAGUUUACACGAAGUUAAUAGGUACUGUGUAUGGUCUUAACAGGUAACAGGUACUAAACAGGUAGACACGAAAAUACCUGUUAAUUUUCGUGUCUACACAAGUAAAAUAUUUGUUUACCUAUUUAGUACCUGUUAAUACAUGUUAACAAUUUUAAUAUAAUAAAAAUAUAAUUUAGUGGGAUCAUAUGAUUUGAAAACCUGAUCUUAUCACUUAUCUUUCUAGUUUCCCUAACCCUUCCCGUUCCCAUUCCAAUUGAUGUAUUAAAAAAAAACCUUAAUUCCUCUCUUCUCUAGCCCCAGUCCCAUCGACACCACCCUAAUCACCGGUCGUUGAGAAGAAAGAC
rnacentral:lncRNA from 1 species